rnacentral:rRNA from 1 species
AUUGAACGCUGGCGGCAUGCCUUACACAUGCAAGUCGAACGGUAACAGGUCUUCGGAUGCUGACGAGUGGCGAACGGGUGAGUAAUACAUCGGAACGUGCCUAGUAGUGGGGGAUAACUACUCGAAAGAGUGGCUAAUACCGCAUGAGAUCUACGGAUGAAAGCAGGGGAUCGCAAGACCUUGUGCUACUAGAGCGGCCGAUGGCAGAUUAGGUAGUUGGUGGGAUAAAAGCUUACCAAGCCGACGAUCUGUAGCUGGUCUGACAGGACGAUCAGCCACACUGGGACUGAGACACGGCCCAGACUCCUACGGGAGGCAGCAGUGGGGAAUUUUGGACAAUGGGCGAAAGCCUGAUCCAGCAAUGCCGCGUGCAGGAUGAAGGCCUUCGGGUUGUAAACUGCUUUUGUACGGAACGAAAAGCUCUGGGUUAAUACCCUGGGGUCAUGACGGUACCGUAAGAAUAAGCACCGGCUAACUACGCGCCAGCCGCCGCAGUAA